AUACGGAGGGUGCAAGCGUUGUUCGGAAUCACUGGGCGUAAAGGGCGCGCAGGCGGUUUGGUAAGUCAGAUGUGAAAGCCCACGGCUCAACCGUGGAAGUGCAUUUGAAACUGUCAGACUUGAGUACUAGAGGGGAAAGUGGAAUUCCCGGUGUAGAGGUGAAAUGCGUAGAUAUCGGGAGGAAUACCGGUGGCGAAGGCGACUUUCUGGCUAGAUACUGACGCUGAGGCGCGAAAGCGUGGGGAGCAAACAGGAUUAGAAACCCCAGUAGUCC
rnacentral:rRNA from 1 species